AAAACCAACAUUAGAAUUGACCAAUGCCAUUACCUCGAAACAACUACCUCUCUUUUCUCCACCACAUAUAUCUUUUUAUACCCAAAAUCUCCUUCUCCUCCAAUCCUCAUCGUCCUCUCACUCCCUGCAUCUUUUUGUCACUGUGUCUGUCUGUCUCUGAGAGCAAGAUGAAUCAUGGAAUCAAAUUACUCGUGUUUUUUUUAUCGAUAGUCGAUUUCAGGGCGGCUCAAGGACAAGAUGGAGAGCAACUGCUGCAGCCAAUCGGAGGAACUGAGUACAGAAUUAUGGAGGAGGUGGUGGUGGAUAAUAGACGAAGACUCACGCCGUUUCAGCUCUGCUUGGUCUGCAAAUGCUGCAGCGGUGCCACCUGUGUCACCAUGUCUUGCUGCUUUGGAAUCGACUGCCAGCUUCCCGGCAAACCUUAUGGGGUUUGCGCUUUCGUCCCCAAAACCUGCAACUGUACUUCCUGUGCUCAGUAAUUUGACAAUAUCAUAUUUCAAUAAAAACAUAUAUGACCA